rnacentral:rRNA from 1 species
UACGUAGAGGGCAAGCGUUGUCCGGAUUUAUUGGGCGUAGAGAGCGUGUAGGCGGCUUCACAGGUCUGCUGUGAAAACUCGAGGCUCAACCUCGAGCUGUCGGUGGAAACCGUGGGGCUAGAGUCCGGAAGAGGAGAGUGGAAUUCCCGGUGUAGCGGUGAAAUGCGCAGAUAUCGGGAAGAACACCCGUGGCGAAGGCGGCUCUCUGGGACGGUACUGACGCUGAGACGCGAAAGCGUGGGGAGCAAACAGG